rnacentral:rRNA from 1 species
CCUAGUGGCAGACGGGUGAGUAACACGUGGUCAACCUUCCCUUUAGUGGGGGAUAACUAGCCGAAAGGUUAGCUAAUACCGCAUACGAUCUGCUCCCGGCAUCGGGAGUAGAUGAAAGGAGCAAUCCGCUUAAGGACGGGACCGCGUCCCAUUAGUUAGUUGGUGGGGGUAAUGGCCUACCAAGACUCCGAUGGGUAGCUGGUUUGAGAGAGCGACCAGCCACACUGGGACUGAGAAACGGCCCAG